rnacentral:rRNA from 1 species
CCUACGGGUGGCAGCAGUGGGGAAUAUUGCACAAUGGGGGAAACCCUGAUGCAGCCACGCCGCGUGGGUGAAGGAGCGUUUCUGCGCGUAAAACCCUGUCAGCGGGGAAGAAGAACGACGUUACCCGGCCCAUACGCCCCGGCUACCUACGUGCCAGCAGCCGCGGUAAUACGUAGGGGGCGAGCGUUAUCCGGACUUACUGGGUGUAAAGGGAGCGUAGACGGCGAGGUAAGCCUGAAGUGGAAGCCCGCGGCCCAACCGCGGAACUGCUUGGGGAACUGUUUUGCUGGAGUAUGGGAGGGGUAAGCGGAAUUCGUGGUGUAGCGGUGAAAUGCGUAGAUAUCAGGAGGAACACCGGUGGCGAAGGCGGCGUACUGGAGCAUAACUGACGUUGAGGCUCGAAAGCGUGGGGAGCGAACAGGAUUAGAUACCCUAGUAGUC